AAUUUUGGACAGUGGGGGAAACCCUGAUCCAGCCAUCCCGCGUGUAUGAAGAAGGUCUUCGGAUUGUAAAGCACUUUAAGUUGAGAGGAAGGGCUUUAGGUUAAUACCCUGAAGUUUUGACGUUACCAACAGAAUAAGCACAGGCUAACUCGUUACCAUCAGCCGCGGUAAUACAGAGGGUGCAAGCUUUAAUCGGAAUUACUGGGCGUAAAGCGCGCGUAGGUGGUUCAGUAAGAUGGGUGUGAAAUCCCCGGGCUUAACCUGGGAACUGCUUUCAUAACUGCUGAGCUAGAGUACGGUAGAGGGUAGUGGAAUUUCCUGUGUAGCGGUGAAAUGCGUAGAUAUAGGAAGGAACACCAGUGGCGAAGGCGACUACCUGGACUGAUACUGACACUGAGGUGCGAAAGCGUGGGGAGCAAACA
rnacentral:rRNA from 1 species